rnacentral:tRNA from 1 species
GCGGGCGUGGUGGGGCGGUUCGCCGCCAUCCAUCCUGCCGGGCGGGGAGAGUGGGCGGUGCAGCUCUUCGACGGUGUGGAACCCGUCGGCCCGCUC